rnacentral:rRNA from 1 species
GGCGGCAUGCUAACACAUGCAAGUCGAACGAGACUUCGGGUCUAGUGGCGCACGGGUGCGUAACGCGUGGGAAUCUGCCCCUUGGUUCGGAAUAACAGUUAGAAAUGACUGCUAAUACCGGAUAAUGACGUAAGUCCAAAGAUUUAUCGCCAAGGGAUGAGCCCGCGUAAGAUUAGCUAGUUGGUGGGGUAAAAGCCUACCAAGGCGACGAUCUUUAGCUGGUCUGAGAGGAUGAUCAGCCACACUGGGACUGAGACACGGCCCAGACUCCUACGGGAGGCAGCAGUGGGGAAUAUUGGACAAUGGGCGAAAGCCUGAUCCAGCAAUGCCGCGUGAGUGAUGAAGGCCUUAGGGUUGUAAAGCUCUUUUACCCGGGAAGAUAAUGACUGUACCGGGAGAAUAAGCCCCGGCUAACUCCGUGCCAGCAGCCGCGGUAAUACGGAGGGGGCUAGCGUUAUUCGGAAUUACUGGGCGUAAAGCGCACGUAGGCGGCUGUUCAAGUCAGAGGUGAAAGCCCGGAGCUCAACUCCGGAACUGCCUUUGAAACUAGAUAGCUUGAAUCACGGAGAGGUAAGUGGAAUUCCGAGUGUAGAGGUGAAAUUCGUAGAUAUUCGGAAGAACACCAGUGGCGAAGG